CACGUAGUUAGCCGGUGCUUAUUCUUACGGUACCGUCAUGGGCCUCUCGUAUUAGGAGAAGCUUUUUCGUUCCGUACAAAAGCAGUUUACAACCCGAGGGCCUUCAUCCUGCACGCGGCAUUGCUGGAUCAGGCUUUCGCCCAUUGUCCAAAAUUCCCCACUGCUGCCUCCCGUAGGAGUCUGGGCCGUGUCUCAGUCCCAGUGUGGCUGGUCGUCCUCUCAGACCAGCUACAGAUCGUCGGCUUGGUAAGCUUUUAUCCCACCAACUACCUAAUCUGCCAUCGGCCGCUCCAAUCGCGCGAGGCCCGAAGGUCCCCCGCUUUCAUCCUCAGAUCGUAUGCGGUAUUAGCUACUCUUUCGAGUAGUUAUCCCCCAGACUGGGCACGUUCCGAUGUAUUACUCACCCGUUCGCCACUCGUCAGCGUCCGAAGACCCUGUUACCCGUUCGACUUUGCAUGUGUAAGGCAUGCCGCAGCGUUCAAUCUGAGCCAGGACUACAAACUCU
rnacentral:rRNA from 1 species